AAGCACCUUACCGGAUUCUUCGGAUGAAAGUUUGGUGACUGAGUGGCGGACGGGUGAGUAACGCGUGGGUAACCUGCCCUGUACAGGGGGAUAACAACUGGAAACGGCUGCUAAUACCGCAUAAGCGCACGAGGAGACAUCUCCUAGUGUGAAAAACUCCGGUGGUACAGGAUGGGCCCGCGUCUGAUUAGCUGGUUGGCAGGGUAACGGCCUACCAAGGCAACGAUCAGUAGCCGGUCUGAGAGGAUGAACGGCCACAUUGGAACUGAGACACGGUCCAAACUCCUACGGGAGGCAGCAGUGGGGAAUAUUGCACAAUGGGGGAAACCCUGAUGCAGCAACGCCGCGUGAGUGAAGAAGUAUUUCGGUAUGUAAAGCUCUAUCAGCAGGGAAGAUAAUGACGGUACCUGACUAAGAAGCUCCGGCUAAAUACGUGCCAGCAGCCGCGGUAAUACGUAUGGAGCAAGCGUUAUCCGGAUUUACUGGGUGUAAAGGGUGCGUAGGUGGCAGUGCAAGUCAGAUGUGAAAGGCCGGGGCUCAACCCCGGAGCUGCAUUUGAAACUGCUCGGCUAGAGUACAGGAGAGGCAGGCGGAAUUCCUAGUGUAGCGGUGAAAUGCGUAGAUAUUAGGAGGAACACCAGUGGCGAAGGCGGCCUGCUGGACUGUUACUGA
rnacentral:rRNA from 1 species